UGGGAUUGCAUCACCUCGGAUGAAGCCUAUUAUUUGUGCAGCGGAGCAGAGGAGCUUGUGAGGGUGAAUCACAGCAAUUUGGCAAAAUUUGUGGAGAAGAUAGCCUGUAAUUUCAGCUGGUAAUGUAAUUAUUUCUGCAUCGCUCUGUCAGCGCCGCUCUUCUGACUGGAAACGUGGACUGGUUAAUGUCCUCCUCUCAGGUACGGACACGUGAACCAGCUGCAUCAAAUCUGUCAAUUCUGAACGCCGUACAGGAGGAUCCUGCUCUUCCAAAGCCUCUAUCAGGGAAACAAAGUUUAGGUUUUCAGAGAGUUUCAUUUCACUGCAUUUCAAUUUUGAGGAGGAAUAAGAUUUAUCCUCAAAGACGCACAGGUGAAUGAGUUUUCCUAUACAAACUUUUACGAGCUGUGAUCAUCCGAACGCCAAGGAAAUAGGCAGCAGACGCUCAACAGCUGCUCCAGGAAGCUCUUCUGGGGAGACAAUACAACCAAAUUGUCUGCAAAUAUACAAUAAAACAUUAUGUGAAUGUUAAGAGAAGAACCUGCUUUUACAUCCAUUUACAUCCACAUACAAGAACGGAGAUGAAGUCUUCACUGUGAUUUCCGUUUAAACAAAAGUAUCUGAGAGUUAAAGGUGGAAUCCGUAUUUUGAUUUCAGAGCACUUCACUCUUCACUGAGACGAUUCCUCAUAGUUAACGUUCACUAUUAACAGAUCCAACACUAUCAUAUGAACAAAAUUGGAUUCCAAUUAUUAUUGAUUUGUAAUUGUUGGGCUGCAGAUCGAGCAGGAGGACGUCCUUGGAUAAAUUAAUUACAGAGCUCAUUACGAUGAAGACAAGAUCAGUUUGUGAGUCUGUGUCCGGAGGGACAAUUAGAUUAUGUUGUUACAGACUUCUGAGUGCGAGCAGAGCUGGUUUCUGAACACUUUGAACAGACCCAACACCACCAGACUCAUUAAUCUGAGUCAUUUCUAUCUUUAUUUUUGCCCUCUGUUAACUCUGUUAGUAUCAAAGCGUCUCUUUCUUUGAGUAACCUUGCCUUGACUAAAGAUGUGAAACUAUCACAUAUAUAAGAGCUUGUGUUUUGAGCGUUUUGCACCGACUAUAGGUUACUAUGUUGUGAAAAUGCUGAACUGCAUUUAGUUUGAGUUGAAGUCUGAAUAAAGGUACAGCCGGCACAAAAACAGCAUAAAUAGACGCAGCCAGCCACCCUGAGAGAGAAGUCAGCACAAGAUAAAUAUGAAAAUAUAACCUGUACAUCACAAACUCUGGAAACUUUCCAUUUGAUUUUUACCUAUAAUUAUAAAUCUGUUUAGUUAGGAUUCAUGCAAAAUGCAAAUUUGAAUCAAACUUGCUUUUGGUAAAAUUAACCAUCUGUUUGUGAGAAAACUUGGAGAUAACAUUUUUCCAUUUUCUGCAUUUUAAUGUGGCCUUUAAAGGUACAGUAAGGAGUUUUUAACUGACCGAGAAACAGGCUAUAAACAGGACUGGAGCGUCUUUAUUACAUCUAAAAGCAAAUUAGACCAUCAGAGAGAAGGCUGAUAAUUCCACUGAUAAAUGAAAACUCUACUUUCACAUGCACAGGACAACAGAUAAUAGAUAUCACUUUGUCCACAGGGGGGCGCCAGAACUAACACAAACCAGAAGCUCCUCACAGCAGCUUUAAUGUGAUGUUUUUACAAAAGAAAAACUUUGCCAGAAACAAUAAAACUGAGUGAAUUUCUAUCUUGUGGUUGUGUUCUGCUCAAACUAAAUUAAACUUAAACUAAAGAGUCUGACUCUGUUAGUUUGACACUCAGGGCGGUCAGCAGACUUUCCACAGUCAUCUACAACAGAUGACUCCUUAUGACUCUGAAUCACUGAGUUCUCCUCAUUAGCUGUUCGUACUGUCCGCCUUAUAGCGCCGGUCUUUAUGAUACUGAAAAUAAUGAUUUGUUUACUACUCUGCAGACCCGGGGUCAUGAAAACUGCGACACAUUAGGAGUUAAUAAACCAGAUUAGUGAAGAAUCUGAGGGGAGGCUCUUCAGUUUAGAUUCACGAGUAGUAGCUUGGUGUCAACACAGCAUGUCAACAAGAUUCCUCGGGAAAUAAUUAACUAGAAGAAGUGAGUAAACUUUUAAAGUUUGGGCACUCAGACACGACUGAGUCAGUAAAAGUGCAUUUGUACUUGUUCCUGGAAGCUAACGUGCCGUUAUUUCAUUAUUCAAAUGAACAAUGUCGUCAAAAAGGUUGCUGAGUCAUUUUCAGAUCAGAAUAUUCCUCGAUAAACCGACUCCACGAGCGUCUUUAUUGUGUCUGAGUUUUAAUGUCCUACUUUUAAUUUUGCCGUGUCACCACCGUCAUUAGUCUGGAUGGAAAAAAGGACCUUAAUUGCAGAGCGCAGUCUUUGUACUCCUGUUUCUGUAUGAAGUAAUUGUGUUGGAUGGAAACCCCUCUGGCACCUGUGUCUGAUAUUAGCACAGUAGGUAAAUCCAUUUUAAUUAAAUUCCAGCGCAAUGUUCCAUCAGUGUGUGCAUGCAGUCUGGACUCUUUAUGCUGAAGGAGCAGGAGAAAUUUAGGGGCUCAACGUGGAGCCACACUACGGCGCCAGAGGAGGGGUCACUUUUACGUUUUUGAGGAAAGAUUGAAAACACAAAGAAAGAUAAAAAACAUGAUCUUGCAGAUGUAGAAAUUAAUGCAGUUUUUCCACAGCUAAUAGCGAAAUAAUAGCAGGAAUAGCAGGUGUAUUUGCAAUAUUUAAAACAUCCUGAUUGGGCCAGAGAUCAUCCCUCCAGCGACAGGACAAAAAUCUCCUGUAAUGCAUAAUAAUAUGGUCUUCUAAUUAUCAAGGUUUUACCCUCAAAGAAUGACCAUCAAUAUGAAUUCAUUCACACAAAACAACAACAAUCUCCUUCUCUAUAUUCCAACUGGUGCAAAAACUAACUUUAACAAACUUAUAAAUAUCAUACUCCACGAUGUACCCGGUCUGUUUAGCUAAAAGCCCCUAACCACUAAGACUUAUCACUGUAAAAACAGAUCCCUACUUUUGUUAGGAAUACUAAAUAUUUUAAAUUGUCUCAGAUUAAGGAGCUAAUUUUAUCCAGCAUGGUUAGGCGUCCAGUAAAAACAGAACUCUUGCAAUCAGCUGCGGAGUCCAGCGAUCCACAGCGGAACGGAACGAAGCCGCUGGAAAUUGACACGUUAACUUGAAUGGCUACAAUCAGCUACAAUGGGCGGAUAGGACCUUUUUUGUAGCUGUUCCAAUUGCGGUGGACAUUGACGGUAAGUCUCCUGGUUAUUGCAAGUGCCUCAAGGUGUUGAGUUUGUAUCCUAGCAACAGUAUCACGGAGAAUACAUGUAUACAAGUAUUGUUAUGAUAUAACGAAACUCCCCUGGAACAUAAUAUAGCCACAGAGCAACUGCCAACAUUAUGUUCUGACUUUUAUGACAGCAAGCUGCCAAAACUUGAUCUUUAAGAAAAAAAAAAAAAUCAAGUUCUGUGAUCUUCUGAAACUAUCAACAUGUGCCGGACCUGCCAUGGAGUUACUUUGGAUUUGACUCCAUCAGAAGAUACAGCAGCCAGCAGCAAACACUGAGUAUUCUAAUGGGAUUGAGUUUAAUCUUUUAUCACGGUGAAAAUGUCCUUUACAAAGUGUCCAAGGUUGUGAAUCUCUCCUUUACAAAAGAACUCAAGGUGAAACUCAAUUUAUCAGUUAUGAUCAGAGACAAAAUAAUGUGGCCAAAGUUGGAUGGAGUGAAAGAUAAGGUGGUGCUCCAGUUUUUUAGAAAGCAUCUGAAUCAGACUCAGAAGUUGAACACUGGCUUGUAUGGUAGGUGAGCUGAAAGGGGAUAUUUUCCGCUAUAAUAUACAGCCAAAUAUUCAAGUUGAGUGCUUUCAUGAUGUUUCAGUAACCCGGUUGUUGUUGUUUUUUGACAAGGCUCUGGCAAAGUCUCCGAAUGAUUGUAUUUUGAUGUUUUCAGGUAAAGAAGACGACACGUAGAUUCCUCUGAUAGGGGUUGAUAGGAAGAGCUUCCCUCUUGUCUCCUGGUACAAAUCAUUUCAAGCCCAGAGGGUCUCUGCGAACUACUUUUCUAAAAAGCUCUUUCAAAAAUAUGGUGGCUUUAUUAAUAUGACUGUGGUACUCGAUUGGAGUUAGGGUGCGAAAUUGAAUUAAACUAAAAUCCGAAAGAAAGAAAAAUCUGAUGAAAACGUUCUCACUCAUCAGCUCACUUUAUUGCUUUGGGUUGUAGGGGAGAGGAUUAACAGCCUCCAUUGAAUAUGUCUUCAUUUAUAUAAAUAAUGUUUCUCUUUCUCUCCCUGCUGCUGAAUUUUUAAACACUUCGAGGAGAUACCGAUUGAAGCAUCAAUUUAAUUUGACAUUUGGAGUAGAUGACACCUGCGUUCAGUCAGGUAACAGAUGCAGACUAAUAACCGGAGUGUUAUCCCGGCAGCUCUAGGCGAGAACACUGCUUCAUACUCACAUCUCACAACUAACUCGAAGAAGUUCCCGGUGUCAGCAGGAGGGCCUGGCUGCAGCCGAAGCCGAAGCUGCUCAGACAUUUGGAAACGCCGUGGUAGGUGUCUUAAAUUGUUUGGACCGUAACCGUGGCGCUACUUCACAUCAAAGAGCGCGGCUUAUUCGGCGGCCCCCGAGCUUCUGAGAACGGCACAAAGAUUGUACUGAGACGGAUAAUGAAGUGCACCAGGUGGCUGCAGAAUCCAGCAGGACAGUCUCACAUUAGAAGCUGCAAGUGUUGGAGCUGUGACUCAUGCUCUGUACUGUGAUUUAUAAGUGGCCACAUAUUUCAGCCCACACCGUGAGCCUGUACUAAAGUAUCUGCCCUCUUAUUCCCCCGUACAGGACCAUCCUUUGUCACACUCUGGCUUUUGCUGACUCACUAAAUUAUUGAUCUGAAGGUUAACUCUCUGUGGAGUAGAAACGGUUGGCAGCGCAGUUAAGCUCCAUGAUGAAACACUACUUUGAGCUUUCUAAACAGGCGGUGUUAUUCGAGGCGUCUCAGAAGACGAGACGGCACAUGCAAACCCUCCGGCUAAAAACAGUUAGCUUCAUUAGCUUGAUUACAUUCACUGCUUAAUCAAACAUACUGGGUCAUGUCUCUCGGUUUAACAGGAAACUUGCAGCAGAGGAUUUCUAACACGGCUUAGAGACUGUGAGAGUGUUACGUGAGCCAAACAGAGUCUGACAGGAUGAGGUGGUCUUUAAGAGGGUUUAAUCCAAGACUUUGGGGGUAAGAGGACGGAGACUGAUGCCUCUUAACUCUGAGUGGAGCUGGGAGAAUUUAGCAGUCAGCUGAUUUACCACAAGGAGGAGCUGUUUGGAUUUACUGUUACCAAUAAAUUAACAUGUUAAUUUUUGUGCUUUAAAGGUGGAGUAGACAGGAAUCCGUUAAAGACGCAUCUUUUUUGUGGUGUAUAAACAAAAAAGCUUUUAAUAUCAGUCAAUAGCUAUUAGAUAUUGAUGAUAUUUGGUAAUAUAAUGAUAUAGAUGUGUUUUGUUAUAUUUGUGGAGUCAACAUUUUAAGUUUUUUUGAGUGGCCCGCUCUUUCUGACUGUAAACAAAGCCAUUCCCCGCCUCCCCCAACCUGAUUGGUUGUGAGGCAGAAGCUGUUCCCCUGUGUUGCGAGGCAGACUCCACAUCCUCGAAUAACCUGCAUGAGCCCAAACAAAGUUAGCGUGCUACAAUAUCUGAUAGUAGAAACCAAUCAGAAAGUACAGAAAAUUGUCUGAAUCCUCCUUUGGCCGCGACUGCCGACACAAGCAAGAAAAUGAAAUAAAUACUGGAGAUCUUACAGACCCUGUAACCUUUCUGCUGGACAGGUAAACCGCUUUAACAAAGUAAGACAAGUGUCUGUAACUGAAGUGUUUCUUGUCAAACGGACCUGCUGUAGCGUGUUGUAGCGCCAUCGCUAAACUGUUGACCUCGGGUCCUGGAGUAUGUCACUUUAUCCUAGUUGUAGAAGUCCUGCAAACAUUGUGUUUGCUGGUAGUCUGUUGGCAUCUACAGUAGCACCAAUGCUUUUACUUUCACGUUGACUGGGCCCCAUUUGUAAUUAUCUGAAGUGUUUAUCCGUGUCUGUUUGUGGGCGGGGCUUGCUGGAACAGAGAGGGAGGGGAGAGGAGGAGCUGAGGGGGAAACUGGUUUGUAGGGGUAGAGUUUACAUUCAAGAUUUCUCCCAAAAACUGGCACUAACUCAGAUCCUGCCUACCACACCUUUAACCCUUGAUCCAAAAUACAAACAUAAAACUUUCCAGAACAGGUGUAGACCACAUGCACUUGAUCCAGCCUGAAGAACCAAACUAGUUUGAUAAAGUUCACAUUUCUGUGGCUCCAUGAUUUACAAGUUGUUGGACCCAAACAACCUUGGAGAUGACGGACUACUUGGAGGAUUGGCCAACUCUUUGACACACAGGUGCAGUUAGAUAUGAAGGAUCUACAGUCCGACCACUGAGUAAGAGAACUGAAUCAAUCACCAGAAAGGAGUCCUGCCGUGUUGACACUGUGGCAAGAACGCCAGCUAUCGUGAGCGUUUGUAAUGGCAGACAUUGAGGCGUAAAGAGGGUUGGCGUUUCGGGUUGGUCUUCAAAAUCAAAAAUGAUAGAUGUGAGAGCAGCCUGAGCAGAUUCUGGACCUUGACCAUCUCUGAGAGGGAAAAGUGGAGCAACAUCCUGUCCUGCAAUCCAGGCAAUGGCAGCGGAACAAAGCCAACUAAGUGCAAUUAAGUAAAUAAAACAACUAUUUCAUCACAUAUUUGAAAAAAGCAGACUAUAUUUGUUAUAAAAUGUAAAAAUGUCUCAUUUUAUGUCAUUCUCUCUCACAGGCGGGUAACAGCACGGUUCCCCGGUUGUCUGAGGUUACUGUACAGUGAGUCCUUGAGAACAGAGAACAGUCAGUGUCGUUAAAACGUCUGCCUCAACCCAUCAGCUGUCAGCAGUCGUCUCCCUACAACACAUUAUUUUUAGUGAGGGAUAUUGAGGUCAUGAUAUCGUGGGAAAUUAGCACACAGGAAAUUCCAUCGGAGCUUUGCUGUAGAUUAAACCAUGUGACUCGCUGUCAGCUCAUUUUUUCCCCCCUGUAGAAAGUGGCGAACCACAGAUGCACAGACAGUUUCCCUGAACACAGUGAGUAAUAACACUGCACCAUUAGUCUCGCAGACGGCCGCAUUCUUGGGCACUGACAUCUCACACAUGUGCACAGAUGCACCACCGAGCAUGAACACUGACAGAGUCUCAAGUCAGCGUAGUGUGGCAAAGUACUUCAGGGUCAUUUUAAGGAUCUGAGGCUCAAACCUGGACUAAUCGGACAGAUCUGGGUUGAAAGAAUCCACUCUUUUUCUUUCGCAUCUACUGCUGAUUAUUAUUGUUUCUUUGCAUCCUAAUUAAACCUCUUUAAAAUCCUUUGCUGUUAAAAUUAUAUAACAAAUACCACAGAAAAUUAACGGUAUACAUCCUUGGGCAGGUUGUAAAGUGAUUUAAAGAUCCCACUCGCUGGUUUCAAAGUUUUGCUUCAAGGUAAAGUGGGGCAACACCGGGGACUUUGGGCCUCAUUAAAUACAUCACAUUUGGCCUCAUUACUUUAAAGUCAAGGGCCCCAAUGAUAGUCCAGUCUAUACAGGACCCCUUUGACCAGGUAGAUUAUGGUUUAUCUACAAAUCACCAAGCAAAGAGCAAAAUUAUAAAUGACUGUAAUGUUCUUGAGCCGGUGUGAAGGGAAUUACAGGGGGAAUGUAGAGCAAGAGGCCCCUCUGCUGGUUUUUGUUUUUUUUUCAUGUCCUUUAACGUCAUUAUUAGAGAAAUGUAUUAUAUAGAGAGUGCCACAUCGACCCAAAAACAUCAGAAAUCUCUUUUUAAAAGUGGGAUUGUCUAAUUUUAGGUGUUAAUUCCAGUUUCAAAAACUGUAUUUUGAUACAAUUGACGUUAACAGCGUGUAUUUCCUACAGAGUAUUAUUAUCAAAUUAACAGAGAUGUUCAUAUCUAAUUUUACGGUUAAAUACUGUUAUUAACAUGAGGGUCAAUAUAUUUACAGAGGUGCCAUGUGAUUUUACCUAAACUUUUUUUUUUUUUGCAUUGUUUUUUUAAUAAUUACAGUAUUUUUCUGUUUAAAUCACUGUGGUUCAUACAAUUUACAGUAGCUUUAUAUUAUUUUACUUAAUUUUAGUGCAAAAAUUACAGCACUCAGUGUUAAUAAAUUUACAGUAUUUUUUUGUUUUUGAUAGUGUUUGAGCUUUUGAUUGUAAAUUUUUGUCUUUCUUUACAGGAGAAAAGAAUAAAAUUUACUUUUUGAGCUGAUAAACGAAUUAAUGGUAGUCUACCGUUACAAAAACUAUUAUUGACUUUUCAAGAAUUUACGGUCUUGUACUGUUGAGGUUUAACAGACUUUUUUUACAGUGUGAUUAAGAAUGAAACCCCUCAGACUGAUGCUGUUAUGUCGGACAUAAUAUCGUGUUUACAGUAAUAUCUUCUCUAACAGUACUGUACUGUAAAUGCCACUAUACUUUCGCAGCUCCACAUGUUUCUGCAACAUCCAAAUCUAAGAAAAUCUGAGACUGUCUGGAUCCAGUCACUCAAAAAAGACGGUGAUCUUUGAGGAUUUAUGUAUUGCUUUGUACUUAGCUAACUUUGCUCAGCAAAGGUCAUUUGUUUUGGUCUGUUGACCAAUCAUAGGCUGUUUACACCAUCAUCUGACCUGCAAAGGGCAAACGUCUGAAACCUUGCAGUAUCUUGUUUUUCCCCCCAAACUUAAAUUAAUUCAAAUUCCUGUCAAUGAGAAGUGAAAACUGAAAAACUCCUCUCUACUGUCUCCACACUCUUAGGAAAUGAGUAUUGUACCAAAACUCCCUGCUGCUCCAUUCAGCUCAUGUUAAACCUUUACUAACGAUGACACACCAUUUCACAAUAAAAGUAUUACGAGGCAGAUAUUGACUUAUGCAAAUGAAAGAGUCAUAGUUUACUCAGAGUGAGUUAAUGUGCUUUAACUGACUCAUAAAGUUAAUGGUAAUAUCUCAAUGGGUGUAAGUGGGUCAGUUAUCUUCAUGACAUCCUGGAGUGGAGAUGCUAAAGCUCUUACUUUAUCUGUAAAUCAAUGACAUUUGUAGAUCUCUGUUUGCCAAAGGAAAGCACACUCUUUUUAUUUCCUUCUCUGCCUCACUCUUUAUUGUCGCACACAGUCUCCUCGGGGAGCUGACCGAUACGACCAGACUUCUACUGCUGGCUGUUUACGAGCUCGGAGGGAGCAGUUCAGGUUUGGGAGGCUGGUUUCAUGGCACCUCGGUGUCCCCUCGGGGAGAGGGAACAAACUUUGUUAAAUUUCCCUGCUCAGACUUUACCAGAUGUUCUG